GACGAACGUUGGCGGCGUGCUUAAUACAUGCAAGUCAACUGAAGCAGUGGUAGCAAUAUCGCUGUGGAGGUGGCGCACGGGUGAGUAACACGUAGGUAAUCUGCCUUCAGGUCUGGCAUAACUCCGGGAAACCGGGGCUAAUAGCAGAUGAUGCAGCGGCUCGACAUCGAGACAGUUGUUAAAGCUAUGGCGCCUGAAGAUGAGCCUGCGUCUGAUUAGCUAGUUGGCGGGGUAACGGCCCACCAAGGCAACGAUCAGUAGCUGGUCUGAGAGGAUGAUCAGCCACACUGGAACUGAGACACGGUCCAGACUCCUACGGGAGGCAGCAGUAAGGAAUAUUGCUCAAUGGGAGAAAUCCUGAGGCAGCAACGCCGCGUGAGGGACGAAGGGCUUUUGCUUGUAAACCUCUGUAGUGAGAGAAAAAAAUCCCAAUCUUUGGGACAUGAUGGUAUCUCAAAAGUAAGCCCCGGCUAACUACGUG
rnacentral:rRNA from 1 species